AUGGCCUUGUUUAAUUCAGCUACUAUGGUACAGGUGGGGGACGGACGUAGGGCCAGAUUCUGGACUGACAAGUGGCUGCCCGGUGGGUGUUCCAUUCAGGAGACGGCUCCAGCCCUGUUCUCUUUUUUCAAGGACAUGGGUGGCUCGGUGAGAGAUGCUAUUGAUAAUCGGAGCUGGAUAAGGGAGAUUUCGGGAGGUAUUUCAGCCCAGGCCAUGGCUCAAUAUCUUAAGAUUUGGGACAUUGUGGAAAGUACUGUUCUUGCUGUGCAGGUCCCAGAUAGAUUGGUCUGGAAGUGGACGGGUGAUCGAUGCUUCUCGGUCAGCAGUGCUUAUGGCAUGUUCUUCGCUGCGAAUAUACGUUUUGCCUGCCAUAAACCGAUUUGGAGGUCCAAAGUCCCACCAAGAUGCAAGUUCUUCAUGUGGCUGGUCAUCCAUAAGCGCUGCUUAACGGCUGACAAUUUGGAGCGAAGGGGCUGGCCAUCAAACGAAACAUGCCCGAUGUGUCUUUCCACACACGAAGAUUGCUCACAUCUAUUUUUAUGUUGCCGCUAUUCACAGCAGGUGUGGUCCGGGUUCAGGAACUGGACACGGGUGACAUUUCCGAUCCCCGAUGACAACUUCGGUAGCUCCGAGAACUGGUGGAUCAACGCGCGGAGAGGAAUUCCUAAGGCAGCCCGACGGAACUUCGACACGAUGACCAUCCUGAUCUACUGGCGAAUUUGGAAGGAAAGAAACGCCAUGAUUUUUCAACAGGUGGCUAGCAGCGUGGACAGGGUGCUGGAGCUCAUCCAAGAAGAUAUCACUGUCUGGCGAUCGGCUGGUUGUGUAGGCGACAUCGGCUAA
rnacentral:rRNA from 1 species